AUUGAACGCUGGCGGCAUGCCUUACACAUACAAGUCGAACGGCAGCACGGGAGCAAUCCUGGUGGCGAGUGGCGAACGGGUGAGUAAUGUAUCGGAACGUGCCCAGUCGUGGGGGAUAACGUAGCGAAAGCUACGCUAAUACCGCAUACGAUCUGUGGAUGAAAGCGGGGGACCGUAAGGCCUCGCGCGAUUGGAGCGGCCGAUGGCAGAUUAGGUAGUUGGUGGGAUAAAAGCUUACCAAGCCGACGAUCUGUAGCUGGUCUGAGAGGACGACCAGCCACACUGGGACUGAGACACGGCCCAGACUCCUACGGGAGGCAGCAGUGGGGAAUUUUGGACAAUGGGCGCAAGCCUGAUCCAGCCAUGCCGCGUGCAGGAUGAAGGCCUUCGGGUUGUAAACUGCUUUUGUACGGAACGAAAAGUCUCUGGCUAGUACCUGGGGUCCAUGACGGUACCGUAAGAAUAAGCACCGGCUAACUACGUGCCAGCCGCCGCAGUAACAC
rnacentral:rRNA from 1 species